rnacentral:rRNA from 1 species
AUUGAACGCUGGCGGCAGGCCUAACACAUGCAAGUCGAACGAGUGGCGGACGGGUGAGUAAUGUCUGGGAAACUGCCUGAUGGCGGGGGAUAACUACUGGAAACGGUAGCUAAUACCGCAUACCAUCAGAUGUACCCAUAUGGGAUUAGCUAGUUGGUGGGGUAACGGCUCACCAAGGCGACGAUCCCUAGCUGGUCUGAGAGGAUGACCAGCCACACUGGAACUGAGACACGGCCCAGACUCCUACGGGAGGCAGCAGUGGGGAAUAUUGCACAAUGGGCGCAAGCCUGAUGCAGCCAUGCCGCGUGUAUGAAGAAGGCCUUCGGGUUGUAAAGUACUUUCAGUCGGGAGGCGUUACCCGCAGAAGAAGCACCGGCUAACUCCGUGCCAGCCGCCGCGGUAAUUC